UACGUAGGUGGCGAGCGUUGUCCGGAAUAACUGGGCGUAAAGGGAGCGUAGGUGGUUGAUUAAGUUAAAUGUGAAAGCCCAGGGCUCAACUCUGGAACUGCAUUUAAUACUGGUCGGCUAGAGUACAGGAGGGGUAAACGGAAUUUCUAGUGUAGCGGUGAAAUGCGUAGAUAUUAGGAAGAACACCGGAGGCGAAGGCGGCCUGCUGGACGAUGACUGACGUUGAGGCUCGAAAGCGUGGGGAGCGAACAGG
rnacentral:rRNA from 1 species